rnacentral:rRNA from 1 species
CAGCAGUGGGGGAAUUUUGCGCAAUGGGGGGAAACCCUGACGCAGCAACGCCGCGUGAGUGAUGAAGGCUUUCGGGUCGUAAAGCUCUGUCUAGAGGGAAGAAAUGAUAAUCGGUUAAUACCCGGUUUUCUUGACGGUACCUCUGAAGGAAGCACCGGCUAACUCCGUGCCAGCAGCCGCGGUAAUACGGAGGGUGCAAGCGUUGUUCGGAUUUAUUGGGCGUAAAGCGCGUGUAGGCGGUUUGUUAAGUCUGAUGUGAAAGCCCUGGGCUCAACCUGGGAAGUGCAUUGGAAACUGGCAGACUUGAAUACGGGAGAGGGUAGUGGAAUUCCUAGUGUAGGAGUGAAAUCCGUAGAUAUUAGGAGGAACACCGGUGGCGAAGGCGGCUACCUGGACCGAUAUUGACGCUGAGACGCGAAAGCGUGGG